GCAUUGGUGGUUCAGUGGGAGAAUUCUCACCUGCUAUGUGGGAGGCCUGGGUUCGAUUUCCAGCCAAUGCA